AAUUUCACUGCAGCUUGGUUUGCUGACCAUGCUUCAAUCGGCACUCACACGUCCUAAACGGAAAUGGAUGUGCGGAAUUGUUUCACUUGAGUCGUCGUAUACACUAUGGUUCCCUCUGUAUUGGUGUUUUCAACAUUCAUGAGGUUUAAACCUCACUGUUUAAUGGUUAAACAAACUGGUAAGAUGGAUCAGUAUACCAAAUACUGUGGUUUGAGAAGAGGUCGAUACAAUUUCUACUUCAUCUAUCUUACGCAUGAUACCAUGGUGUUACCAAAAUUGGUGAGUUGUGUCAAACAUGUAAUGUUUUUAAGCAUUUUAGGUGAUGAUUAACACAGACCUGUUCUGAUCUUUUUGAGGAAAACUAUUGUUACAAAUCUGAAUCUUUGUGGACAUGCAUGAGGGUGUUGGGUAAACUGAAGAAGUAGCCUGGCCUACCAUAUUUCCUUGGUUCUGGGGGAGCCUAGUUCAACUGCUUGAAUUUCUUAAGGGAUGUGAAGGGUUUGCAGUACUUCCGAUGUGGCGUCGGAGUAGCGAGUAUCCCACUGUAGCAGUAACGGCUAUUCGGAGUACUUUUGGUGUGGAAAGUUCAGAGGUUUUCCAAACUACUUGUUCCGAGGUUAAGUGGAAUGUCGUACACUACGACCAUUUGGGUUUUACUCGGGACAGGGUAUCACAUGCCCGCCAUUUUUCGCUAUCCACGGGUGAAGUGUGGAGGUCCGUUUGGUGUUUUGGUGUCUACAGUUGCGUUCCUAGGAGGGGGAGAUAGCGAAGGCGUAGCUCGGCGUCGCUUAGAUCUGGCAGUUGGAUUUGUUUGCUGUUCUUCUAGCCGGUAACGGAUGUAUCUGAAGAUCACCAGGCGUGCAUCAUUCAGAUUUUCGAGCGGAUUAAGUUUUUACAAGGAGUUAGGUGUCAUGCUGGCAAUGUUAUUCAGGUCGCGGCAAGGAGGAAGCUUAACGGGUGGACGGAAAGUCAGUGUGAUCGUGAAACCAGACGAUGGUUGUUUCCAGGGUUCAGAACCUUUUUCACCGCGUGUCGUGAAGGUGUGGUGAAUAGCACUUGUAUCACUGAACUGAAUUUCAACUAUCGCCGAGUGACUACGUUCAUCUGCUAUAUCGUUUUAAUGUAUGAAAUAAAUGUAUUGAUAAAAUCUACUGGUAUUUGAAAUAAAAUUGCCGGAAUUAAA